CUGCAUUCUUGGCCUUUUAGCUAAGAUAAAAUGCAUUAUCAGUCCCUUUGAAUUCAAUACCUGAUAUGUCCUUGCUUUGAAGACUUUGUAUUAAUGGAUUUUGAGAAGUUGGAGCUUGCUUCGUGUCCUCUAUGUUGAACCUGUUAUUUCAGUACCUUCAAAAUAGUGUGCCAGCCCCACCUU
ensembl:snRNA U2 U2 spliceosomal RNA